rnacentral:rRNA from 1 species
ACGCGUGAGUAACCUGCCUCUCAGAGGGGGAUAACGUUCUGAAAAGGACGCUAAUACCGCAUGACAUCCCGGGGCCGCAUGGUCCUGGGAUCAAAGGAGCAAUCCGCUGAGAGAUGGACUCGCGUCCGAUUAGCUAGUUGGUGAGAUAAAGGCCCACCAAGGCGACGAUCGGUAGCCGAACUGAGAGGUUGAUCGGCCGCAUUGGGACUGAGACACGGCCCAGACUCCUACGGGAGGCAGCAUG